CGAAGCAGUGAUGUGGAGCGAAUCCCAAAAAUAAACGUCCCAGUUCGGAUUGCAGUCUGCAACCCGCCUGCAUGAAGCCGGAAUCGCUAGUAAUCGCGGAUCAGAAUGCCGCGGUGAAUACGUUCCCGGGUCUUGUACACACCGCCCGUCACACCAUGGGAGUCGGGAAUGCCCGAAGCCGGCGGCCUAACCUUAUAGGAGGGAGCCGUCGAAGGCAGGCCCGGUGACUGGGGUGAAGUCGUAACAAGGUAUC
rnacentral:rRNA from 1 species